UGAAAUUUGGCCUAAGAAAUCAGCAAGAGGGUAGAAUUGCAGGAGAAGAACCCUUAAAAUUUGGCCUCAGAAAACAACAAUAGGUGGAAUUGCAGGAGAAGAACCAUUGAAAUUUGGUCUCAUAAAAGAACAAUAGGU